rnacentral:lncRNA from 1 species
GGUAGCCACACUGCACAUCCGCCUGUUGAACGUUGCGCCCAUUGGGCGCGAUGGUAGCCGUGCUGCACAUCCGCCUGUUCACCGUCGCGCCCAUUGGGCGCGAUGGUAGCCGUGCCGCACAUCUGCCUGUUCACCGUCGCACCCAUUGGGCGCGAUGGUAGCCGCCUCACACGUCCGCCUGUUGACCGUCGCGCCCAUUGGGCGCGAUGGUAGCCGUGCCGCACAUCCGCCUGUUCACCGUCGCGCCCAUUGGGCGCGAUGGUAGCCACGCCGCACAUCCACCUGUUUACCGUCGCGCCCAUUGGGCACGAUGGUAGCCGCACCGCACAUCCGCCUGUUUACCGUCGCGCCCAUUGGGCGCGAUGGUAGCCGCGCUGCACAUCCGCCUGUUGACCAUCGCGCCCAUUGGGCGGGAUGGUAGCCACGCCACACAUCCGCCUGUUGACCGUCGCGCCCAUUGGGCGCGAUGGUAGCCGUGCUGCACAUCCGCCUGUUGACCGUCGCGCCCAUUCGGCGCGAUGGUAGCCGUGCCGCACAUCCGCCUGUUGACCGUCGCGCCCAUUGGGCGCGAUGGUAGCCGCGCCUCACAUCCGCCUGUUCACCGUGGCGCCCAUUGGGCGCGAUGGUAGCCGUGCCCGCGCGAUGGUAGCAUGCAUCCGAAUGUCACCAUGGC